CUCUUAUCAAGAGCGGCGGAGGGAUAGGCCCUAUGAUGCCCGGCAACCAGCAAGUGAAAAAUUUGCUAAGGUGCUAAUUCCUACAGAUUCUAUAUUUGGAUCUGGCAGAUAAGGG
rnacentral:ncRNA from 1 species